rnacentral:lncRNA from 1 species
CAUCUCGCUGCCCUUCCAUUGCCAUCCAUCAGCCCUCCACAACCUCCCAAAGCAAUUCCCACAAUUGCUUAAAAGAUCAUCGCCGAAUUCCACCAUCAUCUCCACUACCGCGGAUCAUCCUUUGAUCUCCCCGUGAAUUGCAACAGGUUCUGGUUUCCUACCUUACUGCUGCUGCAAUUUAGUUAUCCUUAUUCGAAAAUCCAAAAAAAAAAUUGUUCCUAUAUUGCUGCAUAAACCUUUCGUCACAAAGUUUUCAUCUCUACGACGAAAGAUACAUUGCA